rnacentral:rRNA from 1 species
CCUACGGGAGGCAGCAGUGAGGAAUAUUGGUCAAUGGACGAGAGUCUGAACCAGCCAAGUAGCGUGAAGGAUGACUGCCCUAUGGGUUGUAAACUUCUUUUAUAUGGGAAUAAAACGUUCCACGUGUGGGAUUUUGUAUGUACCAUAUGAAUAAGGAACGGCUAACUCCGUGCCAGCAGCCGCGGUAAUACGGAGGAUCCGAGCGUUAUCCGGAUUUAUUGGGUUUAAAGGGAGCGUAGGUGGAUUGUUAAGUCAGUUGUGAAAGUUUGCGGCUCAACCGUAAAAUUGCAGUUGAAACUGGCAGUCUUGAGUACAGUAGAGGUGGGCGGAAUUCGUGGUGUAGCGGUGAAAUGCUUAGAUAUCACGAAGAACUCCGAUUGCGAAGGCAGUUCACUGGACUGCAACUGACACUGAGGCUCGAAAGUGUGGGUAUCAAACAGGAUUAGAUACCCCUGUAGUC